CAAUAGCGUAUAUUAAAGUUGUUGCAGUUAAAAAGCUCGUAGUUGGAUUUCUGGAGGGAGCGUCGGCCCGUAUUUACGAGUGCGUGACGUCUCUGUCCAUCCUUGCGGGAAGGCACGGCAUUGAUUUGUUGUGUCGGAUCGCAUCAUUUACUGUGAAAAAAUUAGAGUGUUCAAAGCAGGCUUUCGCUUGAAUACAUUAGCAUGGAAUAAUAAGAUAGGACUUUGGUGCUAUUUUGUUGGUUGAGCCUAAAGUAAUGAUUAAUAGGGAUAGUUGGGGGCACCUGUAUUGCGUUGUCAGAGGUGAAAUUCUUGGAUUUACGCAAGACAAACAGCUGCGAAAGCGUCUGCCAAGGAUGUUUUCAUUA
rnacentral:rRNA from 1 species